rnacentral:tmRNA from 1 species
CUGGAUUCGACGGGAUUUGCGAAACCCAAGGUGCAUGCCGAGGGGCGGUUGGCCUCGUAAAAAGCCGCAAAAAAUAGUCGCAAACGACGAAAACUACGCUUUAGCAGCUUAAUAACCUGCUUAGAGCCCUCUCUCCCUAGCCUCCGCUCUUAGGACGGGGAUCAAGAGAGGUCAAACCCAAAAGAGAUCGCGUGGAAGCCCUGCCUGGGGUUGAAGCGUUAAAACUUAAUCAGGCUAGUUUGUUAGUGGCGUGUCCGUCCGCAGCUGGCAAGCGAAUGUAAAGACUGACUAAGCAUGUAGUACCGAGGAUGUAGGAAUUUCGGACGCGGGUUCAACUCCCGCCAGCUCCACCA